rnacentral:misc_RNA from 1 species
GAAUUUAGCGCAUCUGCUUGCAGAGCGUGACCCCACUCUAUAAUAUACACUGUGCACUUAUUGGCGAAGGAAAAGAUUGUCAUUUCGAUUUCGAUUUCUUUUCUUUGCGGCUCACUUUUAAACACCAGUCAAAGUAUGUAUAUAAAUAAAAUAAGAAAAACUUUCAACAACGGAUCUCUUGGCUCU